CUACGGGCGGCAGCAGUGAGGAAUUUUGCGCAAUGGGGGCAACCCUGACGCAGCAACGCCGCGUGAGUGAAGAAGGCCUUUGGGUCGUAAAGCUCUGUCAACUGGGAAGAAGUUACAUGUAUUUAACAGAUACAGGUAUUGACGGUACCAGUGGAGGAAGCGUCGGUUAACUCCGUGCCAGCAGCCGCGGUAACACGGGGGACGCAAGCGUUAUUCGGAAUUAUUGGGCGUAAAGGGCGCGUAGGCGGUCUUGUCGGUCAGAUGUGAAAGCCCGGGGCUCAACCCCGGACGUGCAUUUGAAACAGCAGGACUUGAGUACGGGAGAGGAAAGCGGAAUUCCUGGUGUAGAGGUGAAAUUCGUAGAUAUCAGGAGGAACACCGAUGGCGAAGGCAGCUUUCUGGACCGAUACUGACGCUGAGGCGCGAAGGCGUGGGUAGCGAACGGGAUUAGAUACCCGCGUAGUC
rnacentral:rRNA from 1 species